rnacentral:rRNA from 1 species
UACGUAGGGUGCGAGCGUUGUCCGGAAUUAUUGGGCGUAAAGAGCUCGUAGGCGGCUUGUCGCGUCGGAUGUGAAAGCCCGGGGCUUAACCCCGGGUCUGCAUUCGAUACGGGCAGGCUAGAGUUCGGUAGGGGAGAUCGGAAUUCCUGGUGUAGCGGUGAAAUGCGCAGAUAUCAGGAGGAACACCGGUGGCGAAGGCGGGUCUCUGGGCCAAUACUGACGCUGAGGAGCGAAAGCGUGGGGAGCAAACAGG